rnacentral:piRNA from 1 species
UAAUUAAUGAAUGUAUUUCUUAGCAAA